GGACGAACGCUGGCGGCGUGCUUAACACAUGCAAGUCGAGCGGUAAGGCCCUUUCGGGGGUACACGAGCGGCGAACGGGUGAGUAACACGUGGGUGACCUGCCCUCAGCUCUGGGAUAAGCCUGGGAAACCGGGUCUAAUACCGGAUAUGACUCCAUGACGCAUGUUGUGGGGUGAAAGCCUUGUGCGGCUGAGGAUGGGCCCGCGGCCUAUCAGCUUGUUGGUGGGGU
rnacentral:rRNA from 1 species